rnacentral:rRNA from 1 species
AGGCCUACGGGGCGCAGCAGUGGGGAAUAUUGCACAAUGGGGGGAACCCUGAUGCAGCGACGCCGCGUGGGUGAAGGAGCACCUCGGUGCGUAAAGCCCUAUCGGCAGGGAAGAAAAGCGAACAGGUUCGCCUGGACGGUACCUGACUAAGAAGCCCCGGCUAACUACGUGCCAGCAGCCGCGGUAAUACGUAGGGGGCAAGCGUUAUCCGGAUUUACUGGGUGUAAAGGGAGCGUAGGCGGUUUAGCAAGU